CGGUGAUGCUGGAUGCCAUUGACGACAGACUCACAGGGUCCGUCCCUCAGGCCUGGGAUAAACUCGGGACGAUAACACGCCAACAGUUUUCUAAGGCUGUAUCGAUGGAAGCCCCAGAUAACAGCCUCUUAAAUCCCGAUCAAAGGGAUGUUGUAGUCCUGCAGGCUGACCUUAAGGAACAUCUCUCCCUGUCCGAGGUGGAUGGAAGACUCAGAUGGGAAAGUGUUAUUAUUGAAUAAUCCAUAUAAACUUAACGAGAUUUCAAUCUAAGAUGGCUGAAUUGAAAAACUAAACUUGGUGAUAUCAACCUCUGCAGAACUAACCGAUCCGAAUAGCGCUG
ensembl:lncRNA